ACAAUGGUGACUGUGAGCAGACCUGUACCAACAAUGACGGCAGUUUUGAAUGCUCUUGUGAUGCCGGCUAUAUAUUGAACGGCGACGGCUUGAACUGUGAUGAUAUCAACGAAUGCGACACCGCCAACGGUGGAUGUGAAGACAUUUGUACAAACAAUGUCGGCAGUUUUGAAUGCUCUUGUAAUCCUGGCUAUACCUUGAAUGGCGAUGGCUUGAACUGUGAUGAUGUAAACGAAUGUGACAC